rnacentral:rRNA from 1 species
UACGUAGGGGGCAAGCGUUGUCCGGAAUCAUUGGGCGUAAAGCGCGUGUAGGCGGCUUGGUAAGUCCGUUCUGAAAGUCCGGGGCUCAACCCCGGGAGGCGGAUGGAUACUGCUGAGCUCGAGUCCGGAAGAGGCGAGUGGAAUUCCUGGUGUAGCGGUGAAAUGCGCAGAUAUCAGGAGGAACACCGAUGGCGAAGGCAGGUCUCUGGGCAUUAACUGACGCUGAGGAGCGAAAGCAUGGGGAGCGAACAGG